rnacentral:rRNA from 1 species
CGCAAUGGGCGAAAGCCUGACGGAGCAACGCCGCGUGAGUGAAGAAGGUCUUCGGAUUGUAAAGCUCUGUUGUACAUGACGAAUGUGCCGGUUGUGAAUAAUGGCUGGUAAUGACGGUAGUGUACGAGGAAGCCACGGCUAACUACGUGCCAGCAG